AAGGACAAGACACUCGCCACCUCCUGGGCUAAGGACCUUGGCCAGGAAGGAGGUAAUCCACUGUGGAUAUGUCUUAGUGCAACUCACCCUCUGUUGAAGACUGCUUUGUGUGAGAUGGGCAGGAUGCAGGUAUGGAUCUUCCCUAUGGGUAUGCAAUUUGCUUAUAGCCGCUGACUCGAUGGAGUUUUCCGGCAAAUUUGCUCCUGUUGUCAACAGAACAAGCCUGAGACCCUCGAGCAUCUUCUAGUAGAAUGUCCGCGCUGGGAGGAGAUAAGGGAAAGAACUAUUUGGCAAAUCUUUGACAAGAGGGUCUGUCUAAUGUCGCCAGCAGCCAUCACUCGGGCUAUAGGCGUGCUCUUAGAAGGGGAGCCUGGAACUGAGCUGGUGCAGGGCAAAUCGAAAAGACAACGCAUGACCGACUGUAUCAGACCCGAUAACACGUGGAGAGGAAACGUAGGCUCGGAUAUAGUGAUAUCAAGACCACCGGGUGCGAAGUUAGUUCCCACCCGGUGGUCUAUUGUAGCACCUAAGCUACGUAGGAAGCACCUAGG
rnacentral:lncRNA from 1 species